CUAGGCGGCCAUACUACUCUGAGAAAGCCCAAUCUCAUCUGAUCUCGGAAGCCAAACGGGGUCAGCCGUGGUUAUUACAUAGAUGGGAUACCGACUGUGAAUCCUGUUCCGUCGGCU
rnacentral:rRNA from 1 species